AAGUAAAAGUCGUAACAAGGUUUCCGUAGGUGAACCUGCGGAAGGAUCAUUAACGAGUAAACAGGAGAGUUGUAGCUGGCCGCAAGGCAUGUGCACGCUCUCUACUCAAUCCAACCUUACACCUGUGCACCUAUUGUAGGUCGAGUGGCUGGACUUGUUCUGGUCGCUCUUCCUAUGUUUUACACAUACACUUGUAGUCUCAGAAUGUAAUCAGCGUAUAACGCAUUAUAAAACAACUUUCAACAACGGAUCUCUUGGCUCUCGCAUCGAUGAAGAACGCAGCGAAAUGCGAUAAGUAAUGUGAAUUGCAGAAUUCAGUGAAUCAUCGAAUCUUUGAACGCACCUUGCGCUCCUUGGUAUUCCGAGGAGCAUGCCUGUUUGAGUGUCAUGAAUAUCUCAACUCACCCGGUUUUUAUUAACUGUGGUGGGCUUGGACUUGGAGGUAUGCUGGCUGACUAGUCGGCUCCUCUCUAAAUGUAUUAGCUGGACCUGUUAUGGAUCAGUACUCGGUGUGAUAAUUGUCUACGCCGUGUCUGUGAAGUGCUUGAAUGGACUAGCUUCUAACCGUCUUCGGACAACUAUUGACAUUUUGACCUCAAAUCAGGUAGGAUUACCCGCUGAACUUAAGCAUAUCAA
rnacentral:rRNA from 1 species